rnacentral:rRNA from 1 species
UACGUAGGUGGCAAGCGUUGUCCGGAUUUACUGGGCGUAAAGAGCGCGCAGGCGGCUGGUCAAGUCCGAUGUGAAAGCUCCCGGCUUAACUGGGAAACGGCAUCGGAAACUGAUCGGCUUGAAGGUGGGAGAGGGUAGUGGAAUUCCCGGUGUAGUGGUGAAAUGCGUAGAUAUCGGGAGGAACAACCAGUGGCGGAAGGGCGACUACCUGGCCCACUCUUGACGCUGAGGCGCGAAAGCUAGGGGAGCAAACGGGG